rnacentral:rRNA from 1 species
AGUGGCGGACGGGUGAGUAACGCGCGAGAAUCUGCCUUCAGGUCGGGGACAACAGAGGGAAACUUCUGCUAAUCCCGGAUGAGCCUUAGGGUAAAAAAUUUAUUGCCUGGAGAUGAGCUCGCGUCUGAUUAGCUAGUUGGUAAGGUAAAAGCUUACCAAGGCAACGAUCAGUAGCUGGUCUGAGAGGAUGAGCAGCCACACUGGGACUGAGACACGGCCCAGACUCCUACGGGAGGCAGCAGUGGGGAAUUUUCCGCAAUGGGCGAAAGCCUGACGGAGCAAGACCGCGUGGGGGAGGAAGGCUCUAGGGUUGUAAACCCCUUUUCUUUGGGAAGAACAAAAUGACGGUACCAAAGGAAUCAGCCUCGGCUAACUCCGUGCCAGCAGCCGCGGUAAUACGGAGGAGGCAAGCGUUAUCCGGAAUGAUUGGGCGUAAAGCGUCCGCAGGUGGCAAUGUAAGUCUGCUGUCAAAACCCAGGGCUCAACUCUGGUCAGGCAGUGGAAACUACAUAGCUAGAGUUCGGUAGGGGCAAAGGGAAUUCCCGGUGUAGCGGUGAAAUGCGUAGAGAUCGGGAAGAACAUCGGUGGCGAAAGCGCUUUGCUAGGCCGAAACUGACACUCAGGGACGAAAGCUAGGGGAGCGAAUGGGAUUAGAUACCCC